UUUAGUUGUGGUAGUGUGUUUUAGUUGUGGUAGUGUGUUUUAGUUGUGGUAGUGUGUUUUAGUUGUGGUAGUGUGUUUUAGUUGUGGUAGUGUGUUUUAGUUGAGGUAGUGUGUUUUAGUUGUGGUAGUGUGUUUUAGUUGUGGUAGUGUGUUGUAGUUGUGGUAGUGUGUUUUAGUUGUGGUAGUGUGUUUUAGUUGUGGUAGUGUGUUUUAGUUGUGGUAGUGUGUUUUAGUUGUGGUAGUGUGUUUUAGUUGAGGUAGUGUGUUUUAGUUGUGGUAGUGUGUUUUAGUUGUGGUAGUGUGUUUUAGUUGUGGUAGUGUGUUUUAGUUGUGGUAGUGUGUUUUAGUUGAGGUAGUGUGUUUUAGUUGAGGUAGUGUGUUGUAGUUGUGGUAGUGUGUUUUAGUUGUGGUAGUGUGUUUUAGUUGAGGUAGUGUGUUUUAGUUGUGGUAGUGUGUUUUAGUUGAG